UGGACCCCGGAGGGUCCGAACUGCCUCAGCGGAGAAAGGGGACAUAGUGUGCUGGCGGGCGCUGGCUGUUGGCGUUAGAGCUCCGGCUGUGGCUCAGUCUGGGGCGCGGUUCUUGCCAACACACCAUGUCCAGAGACAGCUGACAAAAAAACUAAAUUGAAACCAGCUCUGGAUGGGAUAACAACACAGGGUCAUACUUACUUUACGGCAGGCACGUUAUUCGCCUUCUUACUCGCACUUACCGCUAUGGAUUCGCUCUUCAGGGGGCACUGAGACAUCCUACAGUGCCCUGGACGGCCCACCCCAACCAUGGUAUCCGUUGUCCAACAGUUUUGGAUACCCCAGAAUCGUCUCCCCGUUCCCCCUCUACAGCAUGGUGCACUACCCCUUCCUUACCUUAAUGAUCUACUCUUCCAUAGCGAAAUGAGAAUACUAAGCCAAGUGGAAUUUCAUUGCUACGUUAUAAAAGAAAAGUGCCUUUGUUGCGUCUGUCAGAUCGCCGGACUGGAAUGCUUCGACGACGGCUCCCCUGGAUAGCAAGACAAUUUGGUAGCGGAGGUGCCCUGGAUCUCCCUUUUUAUGUUCUUGCCAACCUGCAGGGACAACAUUAAACGACCAAAGGGUCUUUUAUUUAAAGUGUAUUCCUAGUGCCCUAGAAUGAGCUCACCCUACUUCCUAGGUUGUAUCGUCCGUUCAAUCACCGGACUGCAGAUAUGAAACCCAAUGUCUACCCUGUUUGCUGCCUAAGUUAUUCUGUUUUCUUUUUUUUUUUAUUUCUUAUAUUUUUAUUCCAGGAUGUGUGUCAAGCUAAGUUUCUCUGUGUAUCGUUCUAAGUAUUGAACAUAUAAAAAGGAGCAUACAUCGGCCUACCUUGGCACCUACGGGCUGCUGGUGCAAAAUUCCCUCGGGGACACUGGAGCAGAUGGCGGCGGUGGAACCAAUGAUGAAGCUGGAGAUGCUGAUGAGAUGAUGAUGUUGUUGAGGAUGGAAAUGUUGACGUUGCCGUGGAUGACGAUGGUUAAAAUUGCAGUAGAGGUGGGUAUUUAUUAUUUGACAAAAAGUUUUUGUUGUUCUGUUUAGUCUUUGCUAUGUUUUAUUCGUGGCUCAAAUUAACGUUCUUUUUCAAAGCUUUUUAUAUUUCACAGGAUCUUUUUUCUUUAGCAUUAAUUAGCACUAAUAAGUUUAUUUAGCUUUAAGUUGAUCUAAAGUAACUUCAGCUUUUUUACUACAAAAGCUAGUCUUUAUUCCUUUCACAAAAAAAAGGAACAUUUAUUUGCUUUUAAAUAAAAAACUUUAUGCCUUUGGCAUCACAUA